UGGGGAAUUUUGGACAAUGGGCGCAAGCCUGAUCCAGCCAUGCCGCGUGCGGGAAGAAGGCCUUCGGGUUGUAAACCGCUUUUGUCAGGGAAGAAAUCUUCUGAGUUAAUACCUCGGGAGGAUGACGGUACCUGAAGAAUAAGCACCGGCUAACUACGUGCCAGCAGCCGCGGUAAUACGUAGGGUGCAAGCGUUAAUCGGAAUUACUGGGCGUAAAGCGUGCGCAGGCGGUUUUGUAAGACAGAGGUGAAAUCCCCGGGCUCAACCUGGGAACUGCCUUUGUGACUGCAAGGCUUGAGUGCGGCAGAGGGGGAUGGAAUUCCGCGUGUAGCAGUGAAAUGCGUAGAUAUGCGGAGGAACACCGAUGGCGAAGGCAAUCCCCUGGGCCUGCACUGACGCUCAUGCACGAAAGCGUGGGGAGCAAACAGGAUUAGAUAGCCCUGGUAGUCCACGCCCUAAACGAUGUCAACUGGUUGUUGGGAAGGUUCCUUCUCAGUAACGUAGCUAACGCGUGAAGCUGACCGCCUGGGGAGUACGGCCGCAAGGUU
rnacentral:rRNA from 1 species